AUGACUUAUCUGCAAAGGUGUAUGGGGGUCCCUAUUAAAAAGGGCCUUGAGGUAUUCUUCUUCACUCUCUUUUGAAGUCUGCACAGGUUAUCUAGGGUUGGUGCUAACUUCCUGUGUGGAGAGAGGAAGUGAAGGGAACUCCAGAGAAACUCUGUAGAGGUAGGAACAGCUGGCCAGCAGAGGCAGCAAUUGAGAACAGCCAGCUGAGAGGUUUUUUCCAUCAGAACAGAUUUAGGAAGUUAAGAUUUCUCAACUGCAGAUCUUCUAAAAAGCACAUCAAACUGGUAUUAUUUGUCAAUCUCAUCCACUUACCAGGUAAUCCAGCUGCAGGGAGAGAAGCGCAGAGUGCCUCGGUUGGUCUUCGAAUG
rnacentral:lncRNA from 1 species